CGUUCCCGGGCCUUGUACACACCGCCCGUCACACCACGAAAGUUGGCAACACCCGAAGUCAGUGGCCCAACCCUUUUGGGAGGGAGCUGCCGAAGGUGGGGUUAGCGAUUGGGGUG
rnacentral:rRNA from 1 species